rnacentral:lncRNA from 1 species
GGGAGGGAGCGAGGCGCGCGCGCUGCUCUCGCGUGCUCUCGCGCCGCUCGCGUGACCGGCCGGUGUGUGUACGACGCGCCGGCUCCCGGGGGCUCGGACGGCCGGGCGCGCGCCGCGUCUAGGGGUGUCUAGGUCCCGGUCGGCACUAGGUGCGGGCGGGCGGGCCGCGGGGGUCCGGGGCGGACACACGCGCACACGCUCCCGGAGGAGCCUUCUCCGAGGCUGCUCUUCCUCGGCCAGACGGAGAGCGGCACUGUCUCCCCGCCCAGCGCAUACUCGCCCCGCGUCUCCCCCCGCGGCGGCUGCUCCUCCUCGGCACCGCCAGCCCCAGCGCCGCUCCGGGGCGGGCGGGCGGGCGGCGGCGGGACCCGCGGAGCCGCUUUGUGUGCAGCCCGACGAGGGGCGGCGGCGCAACCACCUG